UGGAGGAGGUCUUUAUUCUAGUGAGAUUGCUAAGGCGAACACCGCCAUGUUUAGUUUUGCCCAACCUGAAUACAGUGAAUACAGUGAAGAGGAGCAUAAACAACCCAGAGAGAGAGUCACUCCACUCAAACAUCAAGAUACCAAGACGAGGUGAGGUAAACUUCCUGCCAUACUUCCCAAGAGGGAAAGACCCAGAGUCUCUCUUAAGUAGCUGAGACAGCGAAUCAUCAACAAAGUUUCAAAGACAGGUUUCUCUCUAACAUUAAUAGACAAACUGAGGCAGACGAAAUGAGAUCAUCAAUGAUGGACCGCCAGUGAAAGGGUUCCUAAAGAACUGUCCAGCCCUUCACUUGGAGUCUCAGGUGUGUGCAGACUUCCACCGCAUAACAAACAUCAAUCUGAAKAGCCGAUUCUACGCCGAACUAGACAGACACCACCCGACUGCCUUGUUCAGGCAKAGGGCAGCACGGACAGGCCAUGCAGCAGAGGCUAUGAGAAGUGAUGAUCUCCAGGAGCAACUUGACGUGAACACCAGGCGCACUACUGCCCUUUGUGGUCUCCCCAUCUACCUUCGCGAGGAAACCACUGGAAUGUAGAGGAAACUGAAGAGCCGGACAUUACAGACACACCUGUCUCUCUCCUCACAGUCGUCAGCGAGAACUAAACUGAUCAUGUCCAGUUCAACUCAGCAAGGAUUGCUGUUGUGCUAGCUAGAAGGUGACAUUGUAAUGAGUGAUGUCCCCAGGUUGGCUGAUGCACUUAUGUUGUUAUUUGGUUUGAUUUACGCCUUGCAUCUGAGUUAUCCCAAGCAGCUGAUCCACACUUCUGACUUCAUACAAAAAGUCCUGAUUGGCCUUGGAUGAUGGGAAAAUGCUUAAACCCAAACUUUUGUCUCUGAAGAAGGACCUAUUGAAGCAAGAUUAAUGAUGUGUGGGUAUUUGCAUUUACCGUCAUUGAGGUUGUCUCCAACUCAUGCCCUUACAUGGCUGCAAAGGCCUUUCUCGUAGAUACAUCUUUAAUGUGUGGCUCCACAUUGUCCCAUCUUUGCCUUGUUAAAUCGUAGCAUAGCCUCACACAGACAGCUUUUCCAAUCGAAAACCCUACAUUCUUUAGAAGUUGUAAAUGUUUUCCUUUCAUUGUCAUUUGACAUAAACCAGGUCCAGUGGGUGUUAUUUUUGACCACACACGUGUUUCAGCUGUUCUGCCCUUCAGUAGAACUCAAUAGAAAGAGAGAUGGCUCUUUCUGUACUGCCGCUGUCAGUCAAUAUGUAAACAAUGUGGAGUGCUUGAUGAGAUAAGCGAGAGUUGAGAUUUGAUAUCCACUCUAAAUAAAGUUGUAACAUACACUAUGUUCUGAAUGUAACGGAGAUAAGCGAGAGAGAGUUCAUAUCCACCAAAAUAAAGCUGGAACAUGUUUUCUAAAAUGUAUGUAUUACAACAGUUAAUGGUUUUUGAUCAUGGCUGCAGCUUUAAUGUGUGGCUCCUAAUUUUCCAGUUUUAGUCUAAUCGCUGCAGACUCAUAUACGGACAAUGUUUCCAAUAGAAAGUUCAGCGACACUAUUUGGAUAGUCCAUCUGUAGAUAGUUAAUUGAGCAUCGUUAGACCAUCAACAAAUGUUAAAUUACUGUCAACUAACCCUAACAUAUCAGCAUAGAUGCAGUUGACAUUUUCUUAGUUUCUUGAUAGUUUGAGCAUCUACAGGGGACUAUCCAAAUACUGUUCCAGAAAAUUCUAAAUUCUUUAGAAGUUCAAUGUUUUAACCAGGUUUCCUUCCAACCAUUUCAUGCUAGAGCGCACGUAAGAGCRAGAUUUUUUUGUUUGUCUGCAGCCAAGCAUCAAUGAUCAUAUCUCCAGAAUGCAACCCUUGAUAUUUAUUGGAAAGAAACAUCAAGCUCAUCACAUGCAAUUUCACCACCCUGUGAAGUUCAUCACAACUUAUUUAAUCUGAAGCCUAAAACUGCAUGCUUUCCCGACAAGUCGUAGUGGGAGGACCACACGUCAUCGUGUGACUCCCACGUUUACUUCAAUAGGAUGGUUAUUAAAUCAAUAUUUUCCCAUAAAAGGGAAAAUUUCUCGAUUAACUAAUUUUACAGAGACAAAAAGAUCCCAACUUUUCUUUACUCACAUAAAAAGGUUGGAUGGAAACCUGGUUAGUGUCACAUUUGGUUAUUGUGUUGAGGCAGGCAUUUUGUAAAGUUGAAUACACAGGCAUAGGAAUAUUAAAGUAUGGUUUGAGUUGUCAAUAACAUUAAUUGUUUACUUUAUUUGAUUCCAAAAUGUAUUUUGUACAUUAUA